rnacentral:rRNA from 1 species
GACGAACCGUGCAAACGUUAUUCGGAAUCACUGGGCUUAAAGCGCGUGUAGGCGGUGCGGUGCGUCGGCCGCUGAAAUCCCCCGGCUCAACCGGGGAAGGGGCGCCGAGACGACCGCCCUGGAGCGACGUAGGGGGGACUGGAACUUCCGGUGGAGCGGUGAAAUGCGUUGAGAUCGGAAGGAACGCCCGUGGCGAAAGCGAGUCCCUGGACGUCGGCUGACGCUGAGACGCGAAAGCCAGGGGAGCGAACGGG